GAUCAUUAAAGAAAUUUAAUUGAUUUGUCUGAGCUCGGAGAGAGACAUCUCUGGGGAGGACCAGUGUAGACACUCAGGAGGCUCCUAAAAUAUUUUCUCUGCUGUGAAUGCCAUUUCUCCUGCCUGCGCUUAAGUGCGCGGUUGGUGGGUGUUCUGCAGUGGGGGGAGGGAGCCGACAAAGACCUGGGAGUGUGCGUGGAUCUCUCUAUUCCAAAGGAGGUGUUUUAUCACACGACUCGACACUUUCUAAUUACUACACACAGUGGAGUUUACUUUACUACUAUUCUUUUGUUCGUUGGGGGAACGCUCUCUUUCGGGGGGGAGUUCUCCCAGUGGAUGCAAACACAAACAAAUAUUUUUUUAAACUAAUUCAGUCAACACAAGAUUUCUUUUAGUAGAAAACAACUUCAAAACUUUCAACAAUGGAUCUCUUGGUUCUCGCAUCGAUGAAGAACGCAGCGAAAUGCGAUACGUAAUGUGAAUUGCAGAAUUCCGUGAAUCAUCGAAUCUUUGAACGCACAUUGCGCCCUCUGGUAUUCCGGGGGGCAUGCCUGUUUGAGCGUCAUUUCCUUCUCAAACACGUUGUGUUUGGUAGUGAGUGAUACUCUCGUUUUUGAGUUAACUUGAAAUUGUAGGCCAUAUCAGUAUGUGGGACACGAGCGCAAGCUUCUCUAUUAAUCUGCUGCUCGUUUGCGCGAGCGGCGGGGGUUAAU
rnacentral:misc_RNA from 1 species